ACCAUUUUCUCCAUUCCAUGGACAUUUUCCCACCACACCAGUGGCUACUCCCACUUGCACUAGGAGCGCUGUGACACCCCAACUUGUGGGGCAGAGGUCAGGCCCAGAGUGCUGAAGUGCUGAAGCUCCUGUAGAAGGUCCUUCCAUGUGUCUUUCAGAUCCUGGGCUUGGCCUUCUCCAUAACCAUCACCCAGCACAUCCACUGGACUGGGUCUUGCUCUGUCAUCCAGACUGGAGUACAGUGGUGCAACCACGGCUCACUGCAGCCUUGAACUCCUGGGCUCAAGCAAUCCUCCUACCUCAGCCUCCAUAGCAGUCGGGACCACAGGUAUGUGCCACCAUGCCCGGCCAAUUUUGUUUAUUUUUUUGUAGAGGCGGGGUCUCCCUAUGUUGCCCAGGCUAGAACUCCUGGACUCAAGCAAUCCUCCCACCUCAGCUUCCCAAAGUGUUGGGAUUACAGACGUGAGCCAACACGCCUAACUUAGUUACAAUAUUUUAAACUUACGAUGUAUUUAUCAAGAUGUAGCCCCAUCAUAUGUUGAGGAGCAUCUGUAUAUUCUCAAUAUAUUUCUUUUCUCUGGCGAGACCCCAGUUCCUAAAAUGACCCAACCUUCUUAUUUACCAACGGGCAACUUGGGGAGAGGAUGUUGAAUUUGACCUCUGGCCCCUAACUCAGGGUUCUCUAAAGUAGAAUUUGGGCUUCGUGAACUACAGUGUGUUUUAAAAGUCCAGCGGAAGUUGCUCCUCAUCCCCAUCACGGGAACAUUAAUGUUCUUGCCUCUGGCUGGCUUUAUUAUGUCCUUACUGCAGUGACGUUGUUAUGUCCUUACUGCAGUGACGUUCCUUGCUGAUGGAAAGGGCUGGAUUCCCACUUCACUCUUUCCCUCUUGUCCUCUGGCCUGAUGCAGCAAUGGCAUCAUGCUGCCUGCCUGGCUGACAAGGCUCUUGUUGGCUGUUGGGGCUGUGUAGGCAGCAGUUGUAAGCCAGUAACAGCACUGCCUAUUUGCAGCAGGAAAGGGCCUGGAGGGCACCUGUCCCUUCUUGGUACAUUCGUGUUGGAUGAUUUGCACACACACACACGCACACACUCAUAGUGAUGGUGGAGGGGAGCAGGCAACUCACUCCAGUGGGACAGAUGACUGUGAGCAUGCCCUAGGCUGGCUCCAUUCCCUUGCCCAACAUCUAAACAGUCAGAAGGCCGCUGCUAUGACCUUUCAGUGGACAACUGGACCUUGACCAAAGAGGCCCUGCAGACACAGGAGAGCGACUGGAGCUCCCCUGCAAAGUGGGUCCCUGCCUGGGGACCUCCCCGGGUGGAUCAAUGUGCUUACACCGCAAGUGGCAGGGCCCUAUUGGGUUCACAGCAGCUGUGUGGGUCAGCUCUCAGCCACCCCCCUGACCACCCCCAGCCCUCUGUCUGGGGAUCCCCCUGAGCCCAGACUACCUGAGUACUCUUCAGGCUCCUCACUGCCUGAUAUGGUUUGGUUCUGUGUCCCCCAAAUCUCAUGUCAAAUUGUAAUUCUCAAUGUUGGGGGAGGGGCCUGGUGGGAGGUGAUUGGAUCAUGGGGGCGGACUUCCCCCUUGUUGUUCUCGUGAAGGUGAGUUCUCAUGAGAUCUGGUUAUUUAAAAGUGUGUGGCACCUAUCCCCUCACUCUCUCUCUCCUGCCGCCAUGUGAAGAAGUUGCCUGCUUCCCCUUCGCCUUUGCCUUCUGCCAUGAUUAUAAGUUUCCUGAGGCCUCCCAGCCAUGCUUCCUGUUAAGCCUGUGAAACUGUGAGUCAAUUAAACCUCUUCUCUUUAUAAAUUACCCACUCUCAGGUAGUUCUUUUUAGCAGUGUGAAUACAAAUGAAUACACCACCUCUCAAGCAAGUUUUCUAGACAGAACAGUGAAUGAAAUAAUAUGACCGUUUUAUAUUAUAGAAGACAAAAACAUGUACUUCCUUUUAGCUCUGGACUGGGCAACUACUGGUCCCCUCAGCAAAGAUUUAUCUUUCUGCAUUUGCAAUGAAAACAUGUCCAACUCCAGGUUUGGGGAUGAGGACAAAUCAGCUGGUCCACGGUGGAGAAACCCUGUCACAGUAGAGUGAGUUGGUCUGGGGGUGAGGCUUGCAGUAGGAGUGUGUGUCUCAACAGACAGAGCCCCCUUGCUCCUGACUUUUCGCCACACUCUGCAUCUGCUGCAGCCAAGCAGAGGGUGGCGCCUGCAGUGGUAAGAGCUCACUGCAGGUUCAUGAACAGAUGCUGGUUGUGUGUCAUGGUAAAUGGUAGGAAAACAUGGACUGACUGAAGGGAGGAAGCCUGAAGAGGAAUACAAUUUAAGUACAUGUGUUUGAGCCUGGCUGUCCUUUGCAGCCAGGAGCUAAUGACACUUGUGAGCAGGAGAAGUCAGUUCAAACACAUCAGUGAUGAGGGCUGACAAAAAAAGGGUAAGCAGGACCCUAUCCAAUGUGGCCAAUGGUUUACUCAUAGGGGAGCCGUGGCUAACACAGCAGCUUCACGAUGUAGCCGUGGGUCAUGGUACAUUUAAUGAACUGAUGGCCUGGGGGUUCCUUGCAGAGGAGAAAAAAAUUCAACAGAAGGUAGUCCUAGAUACAAUUCCUUUAUUAUCAUUAUCAUGCCCCCUAGCACAUGAAGCUGGGCUUCCA
rnacentral:lncRNA from 1 species